GUCCAUUUGAGCAUCCGCAAUUGAAGAAAGAAAAAGAAAUGAAUAUAAGUUACCGAUACUCGAUAAACACAGACUCAAACCAUAUUUAGUUCUAAAACAAAGAUUCUAGAAAUCUCGAGAUGGAGAUAGGGACGAACGAAAUUUAAGUGGCUUCUUUUACUCAUUAUACAAAGUUUCUCUAUAACAAGGGCUAUCAAAACAUAAAGGAAGAAUUAUCGAACGAGCGACUGACAAAAAAGUUUCACGCACACAGUUUCGGUAUACGCGAUCGUUAAGCGAAGGACAAGCUUGCAGACGGGGCAAAAGCGGUAAUAAACAAUUUUCCAAAGAGUCACUGGGCCGCGAUAAAUUUUCAUUAAUUCGCGGGCCACAACAAAUUGCUUGAAUAAUUACAAGCGCGCGCGAGCAUGCGAUUAAUCACUUCGGCGUUGGCUUUGUGAUCUGCUAGCACGGGGAACGAGCACUCGACGUGCUCCGCGCCAUUGUUUCCGCCGGGCCAUUGUCGAGCUUUCAGUUUCCGUCCAUAAACAUUUCCAGUAGCCGGGUCCGCGUGAGAGAUUCUUCGCGGCAUUGUCCACCGAAAAUUGUUUCCUACCAGCUACCGGCGCCCUCCCGUCCGAGGAACUCCAGUUAUCCCCAGGAGAAUUCGCUGAACCGGCGUCCUUGGAAAAUUAGCUCGCAUAUAUACCUAGACUCGAGACUUCGAAUUCUCGGUCUCUACGGUUGUUUUACGCGCAUCUCGUCACCGUACGCGAUACAUCUUGUUAACAUCUCGCGAGAUGAAUCCGCCUCGUCACGAUCGUUUAACACGAUCACGUUCUAAUAAAAUCCGUCCAAGGAUCUCAGACUUUGAUAUUGACGAAACAUUAUUGCCAUCUUGGAUUCCAAGAUGAAUUCAGAAUAAUAGGUUCAAGAUAUAUGCACUUACCACGUCAAUUAUAAAGAUCAACGAUAUGAGAAUCCUUACGCCGCGAUUGAAUCUUAUUUCCAAGUACUGCAAAAAAAA